GCGGGGUUAGCUCAGCGGUAGAGCGUCUGCUUUACACGCAGAGGGUCACUGGUUCGAAUCCGGUACCCCGCACCA
rnacentral:tRNA from 1 species